rnacentral:rRNA from 1 species
AAAUUUGGCAGUCAGUCAGUGGGGGAUAAGCUUCAUUGGCGAGAGGGAAACACCCCAGACCAUCGGAUAAGGUCCCUAAGGUAGUGCUAAGUGGCAAGAAGGAGGUAAGUUUUCAUAGACAAUGGGGAUGUUGGCUUAGAGGCAGCCAUCAUUUAAAAAGUGCGUAAUAGCUUACCCAUCGAGAGAGUUUGCGCCGAAAAUGAUCGGGACUAAAGUAUCACACCGAAUUUGUGGAUUAGAAAUAAUGGUAGGAGAGCGUUCCAACGACAUAGAAGGGUGAGCGGAAGCGAAUCUGGAGUUUUUGGAAGUGAGAAUCUAGGCAUGAGUAACGAUAAGUAUGGUUAAAAUCCAUACCGCCGUAAGGAUAAGGUUUCCUGGGGAAGGUUCGUCCGCCCAGGGUUAGUCGGGAGCUAAGGCGAGGCCGUAAGGAGUAGUCGAUGCACAAUAGGUUAAUAAUCCUAUACUAUAUUAGAGGUGUUUGAAUCGUAUAUUGACGAACGAGUGAAUGUCAUCCGGGUGAUGAACGUCCCGGUCUAAGGCAAUGGAAGUUGCCGGGGACCUUGAAGCUACGGCCGAGAGGGAUUGACAGUGGCUAGUUCCGGGAAAAUUUAUACGGCUAAUUUCUAAUAUACCCGUACCGCAAACCGACACAGGUAUCCGGGAUGAGUAUUCUAAGGCGCGUGAGUUAAAUCUCUCCAAGGAACUCGGCAAAAUGGCCCCGUAUCUUCGGUAGAAGGGGUGCCAACGCGAGUUGGUCUCAGUAAAGAGGCCCAACCGACUGUUUAUCAAAAACACAGCUCUCUGCCAAGUCGCAAGACGACGUAUAGGGAGUGACACGUGACCAAUGCGGAAAGGUGAAAGCUGGUUGUGCAAGCUUCUGGUCUAAGCCCCCGUGAAUGUCGGCCGUAACUAUAACGGUCCUAAGGUAGCGAAAUUCCUUGUCGGGUAAGUUCCGACCUGCACGAAUCAUGUAACGAGUUGGGUGCUGUCUCAGGGAGAUGCUCAGUGAAAUUGUAGUCGCGGUCAAGAUGCCGCGUACCCGCAGAAGGACGGAAAGACCCUAUGAACCUUUACUAUAAUCUGAUAUUGUCGUUUGAUUUUUAAUACGUAGAAUAGCUGGGAGGCUAAGAAAUUGCACUUCAGGGUGUGAAAGAGCCGCAAUGUGAAAUACCAGUUUUUAACUGUUAGAC